UGAACGCAUUCAGUGUUUUGUGGACUUGGGCGAAAGCACUGAAAUUGAGGAUGGAGCAAGAAUUAAUUUGGUCAUUUGCGAUGAUCCUGAGAAACUAAUGGCAGAAAAACAGCUGUUUCAACUUCUUUUAAGAUGGGCCCAGUGUUUGUCACAGAGACCAUAAAUUUCAUGAAGGAGUUGUCAGAUUCGAAGCCAAGCAUGGAAAAGGUCAAACAUGCGAUGGAUCGAACAUGCCAGGCUAGAAGUGGAUGCAAUGAACAUACAAGAUUUCCAUAAGUUGUAUCCAGCACUAAUGGUUGAAAAGGAAUUGGGACAAGAUCGGGAGUAUGCUGGAUGUUCAACUUCACAGUUUACACAGGCACUCAAUAAGAGCAUGCAGGACAGUGAGAUUAUUGCCGCACUUAACACAAGUUGGAAGAUCGCC